CCGCGGCAGCAUCUGAGGCUGCCGCUCUGCCCUCGCUGCGCAGCUACGGGCUCCUCACCCCGGCCCAGCGUCUCCGGGAGGGACGACUUGCCCGCCCUGCGCUUCCCCCGGGCAGGCCCAGCUAUCGCCACAGGUGGAACUGUCAGCACGCUCUACAAAUGUAAAGAUCGCAGAUACUUAAGGGCCUUGAAUGAGUUUGCAGGAGAGCUCAGGCCUCCAUCCCAUCCCUUCCGGCAUUAAACUUUUGGAAGAAAUUGGGAUUCACAGAAUGGGAGAUUCGCCAGAGAAUAAGCCUGAUGGGAAGUCUGGAGAUAACGGGACACCCAACCAGCAGAUGUGAAACCUGAAAUUAGUGAUCCGCCAAAGGAAAUGAUGAACUAUGAUCCCAGGUCUGUCUAACCUAUACUUGUCUCCAAAGGGUAGGGCAGAGUUUCAUUUCUCCCAAUAGUGAUAUUCAGCCUCUUUAAAGCCUCUUUUAGCAAAAUAUUAUAAUAAACUAUUCUCUAAUAAACAGUGAGCAGUAUCUGUUUGAGCAAACAUUCUUGGAUGAAAUGAGAUGAGGUAACUGAAGAAGGCAUUAAAAACUAUAAUAUUCCUUAUAAAUUAAGAUUUAUUUUCAUCUUGAAUGAUGGCUCUUACAUCAUCAUCCUAAAGUAUAAAAUAAUUUUUUCUGAAAAUGCUUGUUUCCUCAUUUUAUUACCUUCAACAUUUUUCAUUAUUACAAAAUGUUUAUUUCAAAAAUUUUCUCAAAAUUUUUCUGACAUAGCCACUGCAAUUUUUCUUCAGUAGAAAUGUAAUAUAAAUUGAAAUAGAGCUUUCUCUUCAUUAUAAAAUAUUUUCCCAAAUUGCAGAGUAACUCAAUUUUUAGUCAAAGUUGUUUAAUUUUGGAAAAGCUUUUCUGAAGUCUUAACAUCCAAUUAGCUUUUCAAAGAGCCCUAGUAUAGCACAAAAACAUCAUUAUCCCUUACAAAAACUGUAUUUUUAUUUCCCUGGUAAUUUUUCCUGACAUACUUAGAGGUCAAGGACCCUGUGUUGCAAAAUUCCGGGAGUUACUGUGUUCAAAAGAUAUACUGUAAAUUAUGCUUCCAGAAAUUGGCUCAUACAAGGGUUCAAAUGGAACUUUCAUGUAUUAUUUUUUUUGCUUCUUGUUAACUAAUUUUAGAAGAUUGGAAGUGGGGGUGUCCAUGCUUUAGAUCCUUCUAAAAAAGGAUGAAUUAACAUUUGCUCUUGCUUUCUGGUAAAAACUACUCAUUGAGUUAACGGCUAAAAAAUUGAAUUUCAAUAUUACCAUAAAUUUGAAGUGCAUAAUAUCUCCUUGUGAAGGAGGAGUUUGGGCAAAGUAUAAAUAAGUAAUUAAAAUUGGGCUCAACUAAACAGUUUGUUGUGGAGGGAGAAGCGAUCUCCUCUUCAUGAAUGGAAAUUAAAUGUUUUUGUAGAGCGCCCCAGCUAUUGUGACAGUGCAAAUUAUAUUAAUAGCUAAUAGAGAAUUCAAAAUUUUUCCAAGUUACAAAGGCUCACCCUUUUAAUUGAGUUUUGUGUGAUUGUCACAUGAAUGAAAUCAAAUCUAAGCAUUUCUCA